rnacentral:lncRNA from 1 species
GAUUCCCCUGGAAAACACUUUUUUUCUUAAGGAAGGGUUAGUUUUCUGCUGAAUCGAUGAGCCAGCCUGACUGUUCCAUGGGCACACAACUGCCUAGGCCAACAGGAAGGAAUUAGUGCAAACUACUGUUUUGUGACCGCGUGGGGUUGGAUCUGUGAGCUUUGAUUUCAGUCUCUGAUAUGAAAGAAUCACCGCUCUCUACACACCUCUGAAAUAAUUAGUUUUCCAGCUUCCUCACAAGCCAAGGAUGACCAGGAGCAUUUGAAUAAAAGAGAUCUGUCAAAAAACAGACCCCCUGUACCCUCCAGGUACUUCUGAUUGUUCCUGAGUAUCAGAGGAGUUAAGCCUGCUCCUCUGGAAACUGCUUUGCAUCA